rnacentral:rRNA from 1 species
GUGUCAGCAGCCGCGGUAAUACAGAGGGUGCGAACGUUGUUCGGAAUUACUGGGCAUAAAGAGCACGUAGGCGGCACCGCAAGUGUGGGGUGAAAUCCCACGGCUUACCCGUGGAACUGCCUGGCAGACUGCGGUGCUAGAGGUUGGUAGGGGAGAGCGGAACUCUUGGUGGAGCGGUGAAAUGCGUAGAUAUCAAGAGGAACACCGGUGGCGAAGGCGGCUCUCUGGAACAAUCCUGACGCUGAGGUGCGAAAGCUAGGGGAGCAAACGGGAUUAGAUACCCCGGUAGUCC